UACGUAGGGGGCAAGCGUUGUCCGGAUUUAUUGGGCGUAAAGAGCGUGUAGGCGGCCCGGUAAGUCCGCUGUGAAAGUCCAGGGCUCAACCCUGGGAUGCCGGUGGAUACUGUCGGGCUCGAGUCCGGAAGAGGAGUGUGGAAUUCCUGGUGUAGCGGUGAAAUGCGCAGAUAUCAGGAGGAACACCGGUGGCGAAGGCGGAUCUCUGGGCCUUACCUGACGCUCAGGUGCGAAAGCUAGGGGAGCGAACAGG
rnacentral:rRNA from 1 species